rnacentral:rRNA from 1 species
GACGAACGCUGGCGGCGUGCUUAACACAUGCAAGUCGAACGGUAAGGCCCUUCGGGGUACACGAGUGGCGAACGGGUGAGUAACACGUGGGUGAUCUGCCCUGCACUUUGGGAUAAGCCUGGGAAACUGGGUCUAAUACCGAAUACACCCUGCUGGUCGCAUGGCCUGGUGGGGGAAAGCUUUUGCGGUGUGGGAUGGGCCCGCGGCCUAUCAGCUUGUUGGUGGGGUGAUGGCCUACCAAGGCGACGACGGGUAGCCGGCCUGAGAGGGUGUCCGGCCACACUGGGACUGAGAUACGGCCCAGACUCCUACGGGAGGCAGCAGUGGGGAAUAUUGCACAAUGGGCGCAAGCCUGAUGCAGCGACGCCGCGUGAGGGAUGACGGCCUUCGGGUUGUAAACCUCUUUCAAUAGGGACGAAGCGCAAGUGACGGUACCUAUAGAAGAAGCACCGGCCAACUACGUGCCAGCAGCCGCGGUAAUACGUAGGGUGCGAGCGUUGUCCGGAAUUACUGGGCGUAAAGAGCUCGUAGGUGGUUUGUCGCGUUGUUCGUGAAAACUCACAGCUUAACUGUGGGCGUGCGGGCGAUACGGGCAGACUGGAGUACUGCAGGGGAGACUGGAAUUCCUGGUGUAGCGGUGGAAUGCGCAGAUAUCAGGAGGAACACCGGUGGCGAAGGCGGGUCUCUGGGCAGUAACUGACGCUGAGGAGCGAAAGCGUGGGGAGCGAACAGGAUUAGAUACCCUGGUAGUCCACGCCGUAAACGGUGGGUACUAGGUGUGGGUUUCCUUCCUUGGGAUCCGUGCCGUAGCUAACGCAUUAAGUACCCCGCCUGGGGAGUACGGCCGCAAGGCUAAAACUCAAAGAAAUUGACGGGGGCCCGCACAAGCGGCGGAGCAUGUGGAUUAAUUCGAUGCAACGCGAAGAACCUUACCUGGGUUUGACAUGCACAGGACGCCGGCAGAGAUGUCGGUUCCCUUGUGGCCUGUGUGCAGGUGGUGCAUGGCUGUCGUCAGCUCGUGUCGUGAGAUGUUGGGUUAAGUCCCGCAACGAGCGCAACCCUUGUCUCAUGUCGCCAGCACGUUAUGGUGGGGACUCGUGAGAGACUGCCGGGGUCAACUCGGAGGAAGGUGGGGAUGACGUCAAGUCAUCAUGCCCCUUAUGUCCAGGGCUUCACACAUGCUACAAUGGCCGGUACAAAGGGCUGCGAUGCCGUGAGGUGGAGCGAAUCCUUUCAAAGCCGGUCUCAGUUCGGAUCGGGGUCUGCAACUCGACCCCGUGAAGUCGGAGUCGCUAGUAAUCGCAGAUCAGCAACGCUGCGGUGAAUACGUUCCCGGGCCU